rnacentral:rRNA from 1 species
UACAGAGGUGGCAAGCGUUGUUCGGAAUUACUGGGCGUAAAGGGCGCGUAGGCGGCCCGUCAAGUCCCGUGUGAAAGCCCCCCGGCUCAACCGGGGAACGGCGCGGGAAACUAGCAGGCUUGAGUUCGGGAGAGGGAAGCGGAAUUCCGGGUGUAGCGGAUGAAAUGCGCAGAAUGAUCCGGAGGAAGCACCGGGUCGGGCGAAGGCGGCCUUGCC